rnacentral:misc_RNA from 1 species
GGGCCUUAGCUGGUGAUCCGGGCUAUUUUCCUCUCGACGAUUAAGCUUAUCCCCCAUCGCUUUCAUCCUUAUCUCCAAAAUCAGAUCAAUUUCCAUUAAAAUCUUCAUCUAAAUUAGUCUCAACACCUUCUAACAUUGAACAUGAAAUUGAGGCUCUCUGCGCUUUUUUUGCGCUCUAAGCGCAAAAAAAGCCCUUACUUCAUUAUAUGCGCUCCGCUUAGCAUAAGUAAAAGCGUUUUCCUAUCUGUCGUUGCACUUCAGCACUUAAGCGAGUGCUUUUAGCGCUUUUGACUAUACUGCCCUUAACUAAAAGACUGUUUCUUGAUAUCUAAAAUGUAACCCGAAAAUAUAUAUAACCUCCCUUACUAACACAACAGCCAAGACUCCAAGACUAAUACGAAGAUUGAAGUAAAUCACACUCAAAUGGCAAUGUUACGCUACUCAGUUGACAACAGAAAUUGAAUACUGUUUUUCCAUUAUUUCUAACUCAUUAUUUUUCUUAGAUACUCCAAAGAAUCAAUCUCGGCAUUCAAAAGAAUCGCAUUCAAGUGUAAAAGACAUUAUAAAAAUCUUCCUCCCUAUCAACAAACAAAUAAGUUCACUAAAAGUACCAAGUCAAUGCGUAAGUAUCCAAGAGAAAUCUAUCACUUCUUUUCUUCAUCACAACAGUUGCAUUAGAUGGCUACAUCGAAUUAUAUACUCCCCACAUCCAAUCCUCCUCUUCCACUCUCCCUCAACAACCCCAACCACAAAGCACAGGCAGACAAGCAUAUAAUUAAUAAUCUAGUCUAUGCUCACAAACGUGUUCUGAGCGGUUUAGUUUAGCAUUGAUGUUAGAAAGAGUGUAACUCUCACUCUCUCAAGCCAAUCUUUCCCCCACCCCCACCCCUCCGUUGGCCCUUGGCCUACUGCUCCCUCUCUGCUAUCCUAUUUUUCUUACCCUGGCCUAUUUGUUGUGUGCAUCAAGUCUAUCAUCCUUCUUGCAUUGGCAAAUCUCACCAAAGUUUUGAGAAAAUAUAACCAAGAACGAUAAAGACAUUUUCAGCAAUCGCUCACAGGGACCGUUAACCUUAAAGCUUGACUGCUUUCUGAGCCACCACAAAUGAAGGCUUUCUUCACACCAGUGUCUUCAU